rnacentral:rRNA from 1 species
GUGGGGAAUAUUGGACAAUGGGCGCAAGCCUGAUCCAGCCAUGCCGCGUGAGUGAUGAAGGCCUUAGGGUUGUAAAGCUCUUUCACCGAUGAAGAUAAUGACGGUAGUCGGAGAAGAAGCCCCGGCUAACUUCGUGCCAGCAGCCGCGGUAAUACGAAGGGGGCUAGCGUUGUUCGGAUUUACUGGGCGUAAAGCGCACGUAGGCGGUUUGUUAAGUCAGGGGUGAAAUCCCGGAGCUCAACUCCGGAACUGCCUUUGAUACUGGCAAGCUAGAGUCCGGUAGAGGUAAGUGGAACUCCUAGUGUAGAGGUGGAAUUCGUAGAUAUUAGGAAGAACACCAGUGGCGAAGGCGGCUUACUGGUCCGGAACUGACGCUGAGGUGCGAAAGCGUGGGGAGCAAACAGGAUUAGAUACCCCGGUAGUCC